CAGAACAUAGCUUAAAUAAAGCAUUUUGCUUACACCAAAAAAAUAUUUAUCAACUAAAUUGUUCUG
rnacentral:tRNA from 1 species